rnacentral:rRNA from 1 species
AGCAGCCGCGGUAAUUCCAGCUCCAAUAGCGUAUAUUAAAGUUGUUGCAGUUAAAAAGCUCGUAGUUGAACUUCGGGGUUUACCCAUUGGUCAGGCUUAAUUGUCUGUACUGGUGAGAUGAACCUCUACCUUCUGAGGAACUUUCAUGCCAUUUAUUUGGUGUGAUGGGAAAUCAGGACUGUUACUUUGAAAAAUUAGAGUGUUUAAAGCAGGCUAACGUCUGAAUACAUUAGCAUGGAAUAAUGAAAUAGGACGGAUUGAUUCUAUUUCGUUGGUUUCUAGGAUCACCGUAAUGAUUAAUAGGGAUAGUUGGGGGCAUUAGUAUUCAAUUGUCAGAGGUGAAAUUCUUGGAUUUAUUGAAGACUAACUACUGCGAAAGCAUUUGCCAAGGAUGUUUUCAUUAAUCAAGAACGAAGUUAGGGGAUCGAAGACGAUCAGAUACCGUCGUAGUCUUAACCAUA